UCUACAGAUGUGAGCACAUGGGUUGCUGCCGCCAUCUUUGUUUGAAACCGUUAGGCUAGAAAUGAGAAACCAGAAGGGGUACAGAUGUUAAACAAGAUGCUUACUAAGCAGCUGGGCUCACUGGCGAAACCGGUCAGACGUGGCUUCCCUGCUGCAUAUCUCCACCCACUGAUCGAGCGAUAUAUUGGACUACAUAUUAUUUUGAUAAGUAUUGAACUUUGGCAAAACCUUUUUUGUUGCACAUUUGCUACAUGUGACCAAUAAACCACCAGAGUUUAAACAUUAA